rnacentral:rRNA from 1 species
CUACGGGUUGCUGCAGUUAAGAAUCUUCUGCAAUGUACGAAAGUAUGACAGAGUGAGCCAGAGUGCUUUUCAAUUUAGAAAAGCUUUUGCUAAAUUUAAAAAAUUUGGCGAAUAAGGACUGGGUAAGACGAGUGCCAGCCGCCGCGGUAAUACUCGCGGUCCAAGUCGCAGCCAUUUUUAUUGGGUCUAAAACAUCCGUAGCUUGCUUAAUAAGUUUCUUGUGAAAUUUUGCAUCUUAAGUGCAGAGCGCGCAAGAAGUACUAUUGAGCUAGAGACUGGAAGACGUAAGAAGUACGUUCGAGGUAUCGGUUAAAUGAAUUAAUCUCAAACGGACUAACAAUAGCGAAGGCAUCUUACGAGGACAGUUCUGACAGUAAGGGAUGAAGGCUAGGGGCGCAAAACGGAUUAGAUACCCGGGUAGUC